rnacentral:rRNA from 1 species
GAAUUCAACUCCUACGGGAGGCAGCAGUGGGGAAUAUUGCACAAUGGGGGAAACCCUGAUGCAGCGACGCCGCGUGAGCGAAGAAGUAUUUCGGUAUGUAAAGCUCUAUCAGCAGGGAAGAAAAAAUGACGGUACCUGACUAAGAAGCACCGGCUAAAUACGUGCCAGCAGCCGCGGUAAUACGUAUGGUGCGAGCGUUAUCCGGAUUUACUGGGUGUAAAGGGAGCGCAGGCGGUACGGCAAGUCUGAUGUGAAAGCCCGGGGCUCAACCCCGGUACUGCAUUGGAAACUGUCGGACUAGAGUGUCGGAGGGGUAAGUGGAAUUCCUAGUGUAGCGGUGAAAUGCGUAGAUAUUAGGGGGAACACCAGUGGCGAAGGCGGCUUACUGGACGAUUACUGACGCUGAGGCUCGAAAGCGUGGGGAGCAAACAGGAUUAGAAACCCGGGUAGUCCAGGCGUU